ACCUGUACGUGGACUCCUGCAAGGGAGUCUCACGCAACAGGGAUGAGGAUUUUGGGGAUGAGGAAGAUGAUAGUGCACGCCAGGCAAGCGGAGAAACCGUUCUCCCCGACAGCCAGGAACUGUUUAUCGCUCUGGAGCCAAUAGCUUCCCAACCCGGGCUUCCGGACCUUGAAGGAGGAGAAGGCACCUCUGCUGCAAAUGUUUCAACGCUGCCCCUAGCAUCUCCGUCCCAGAGGCUAGCGCAGU